CAACUGCAACAAAAGUUAAAAUGGAAACAAAAUGUGAGUGCAUCAAAUGAAAAAGCUUCUCCACAGCAAAGGAAACCAUCAACAAAAUGAAAAGACAACCUACCGAUGGGAAAAGAUAUU